GGUCCUCCCCGGAUGAGGAGCGCACAUGCUUGCAAUUCUAACAUUGAGGUGUUGAGUGACAUCUGAUCCGCUAUUAGAGACUGAGGUUGCGGGUUCCCGAGGUCGAUGUGCCUUAUUGAAAUCUCACCGCUCCGUUCUGGCCACCUCUCUGGCUUCUUCCAUCACUUGCUCGCCGAAGCUGCCUGCCAGGAGUGGGUACCCGUCCAACACAAACUACUGCAGGACUCAAGAAGCGGAGAUAGUCCGGAAAGCGAGGCAUG
rnacentral:antisense_RNA from 1 species